GCCUCACAUCAGCUCAUCUGUCAUUUCAAUACUGAACCAGUUUAGAAGAGUUUGUCUUUUCAUAUUUGCGGAUUGAAACCAUUGAAGAUGUUUGACAGAUUGUUGUUCUGUUUGUGUUUGUGGCGUCUGGCUGGUGUGUUUGCUGAUUCAGAUGCAGUGAAGUCAGUGUCAGUAAUGGAGGGAGAUUCAAUCACUCUACAGACUAACACUGAAAUAAAGACAGAUGAUCUGUUAACAUGGACAUCUGGACUUUCAAAGACUCUUCUUGCUCAAAUUAUUAAACAGGAUGGACAGUUCUUCACUUAUGAUAUUCCUGAUGGGAAAUUUAGAGACAGACUGAAGCUGGAUCAUCAGACUGGAUCUCUGACCAUCACAAACACCAGAACCACAGACUCUGGACUUUAUCAAGUAACCAUCAGCGGCAGGAGACAGAUCAGACACAGAUUCAAUGUUACUGUCCAUGGUGUGUUUGCUGAUUCAGAUGCAGUGAAGUCAGUGUCAGUGAUGGAGAGAGAUUCAGUCACUCUAGUAUCUGGUCUUACUGAAAUACAGACAAAAAAUGGGAUAAUGUGGACAUUUGGACUUUCAGAGACUCGCAUAGCUCAAAUCUAUACAGAGGCUGGAAUCUUCUCCACAUUUGAUGUUCUUGAUGGGAAAUUCAGAGACAGACUGAAGCUGGAUCAUCAGACUGGAUCACUGACCAUCACAAACACCAGAACCACAGACUCUGGACUUUAUGAAGUAACCAUCAGCGGCACGACAGACACCACAUACAGAUUCAAUGUUACGGUCUCUGGUGUGUUUGUUGAUUCAGAUGCCGUGAAGUCAGUGUCAGUGAUGGAGGGAGAUUUAGUCACUCUAGAAUCUGGUCUUACUGAACUACAGACAAAAGAUGGGAUAAUGUGGACAUUUGGAUUUUUAGAGACUCGUAUAGCUCAAAUCAAUAAAGACACUGGAAGAUUCUCCACAUUUAAUGUUCUUAAUGGGAAAUUCAGAGACAGACUGAAGCUGGAUCAUCAGACUGGAUCGCUGACCAUCACAAACACCAGAACCACAGACUCUGGGCUUUAUCAAGUAACCAUCAGCGGCAGGAGACAGAUCACAUACAGAUUCAAUGUUACUGUCUCUGGUGUGUUUGCUGAUUUAGAUGCAGUGAAGUCAGUGUCAGUGAUGGAGGGAGAUUCAGUCACUCUAGAAUCUGGUCUUACUGAACUACAGACAAAAGAUCGGAUAAUGUGGACAUUUGGUCUUUCAGAGACUCGCAUAGCUCAAAUUAAUAAACAGGCUGGAAGAUUCUCCACUUAUGAUGGUCCUGAUGGGAGAUUCAGAGACAGACUGAAGCUGGAUCAUCAGACUGGAUCGCUGACCAUCACAAACACCAGAACCACACACUCUGGACUUUAUCAAAUAACCAUCAGCAGCACGACAGACACCAAAUACAGAUUCAAUGUUACUGUCUCUGGUGUGUUUGCUGAUUCAAAUGCAGUGAAGUCAGUGUCAGUGAUGGAGGGAGAUUCAGUCACUCUACAGACUAACACUGAACUACAGACAGAGGAUCUGAUAACGUGGACAUUUGGUCUUUCAGAGACUCGCAUUGUUCAAAUCAAUAAAGACACUGGAAGAUUCUCCACAUAUGAUGUUCUUGAUGGGAGAUUCAGGGACAGACUGAAGGUGGAUCAUCAGACUGGAUCUCUGACCAUCACAAACACCAGAACCACACACUCUGGACUUUAUCAAGUAACCAUCAGCGGCACAAUAGACAUAACAUACAGAUUCAAUGUUUUUGUCUCUGACUCUAUCUGCGGGUGUGAUUCUGCUGAAGCUGUGAUCCGAUUGGUCGUCUCUGCUCUGGUGGGCGUGGCUGCUGUCAUUGCGGUUGUUGUUCUGGUUUAUGACAUCAGAUCCAGAAGAGCUGAACAGGAUUAGCCUACUGAUUUUAAUAUGUUAUCUAUAUUCCUCAUCCUCAAGUACUGAACUUUGUUUGUUUAAAUCUUAAUGUAGUUUUUUUUAGCCUGAAUCUCAACAUGUUAUAUGUUCAUCACCCAUAUUCACCCUAGACGAUGUUCUAUUCUAUUUAAUUUUUUUUUCUAUAAUAAACAUUUAGUAACACUUUAGUAAAGGGAACAAUUCUCACUAUUAACUAGUUGCUUAUUAGCAUAUUCAUAAUGUCACGAAUCCUGUCUGUGGUCUUUCAUCUGUUCACCAGUAGAGGUUGCCUUCCAAUUAUGGACUUCAUUUCCCAUGUUCCAUUGCACUGAUUAUACACUCACCAGCAGCACACACUGGUUCCCGUUCAGGGCCGAGUAUUGUUAGCGCUUAUAGCUAGUUUUGCCAAUAGCUGCAUUAGGGAACCAUUGCAAGUUUUCUUUAGUCUAUUUCUUUUCUUCUUCUUUUUUUCUUUUCUUUAUUUAUUAAGCACUUUCACACAACCGACCAUUGACCAAAGUGCUGUACAAUAGAUUGCCUCGCCCUCCGGAUUACAUUUGCUGUCAAUGACCCUUGUCUGUUUAUUAGACUAUUCUUGUGUCUUGUCCUCAAUAUACCUGUUUGCUAGUGUUGACCCUUGCCUGUGUUUGACUAAUAAUAAAAGCUUUGCAAAUGGUAACAUAUUGGCCAUUUAUUAGUACUUACAAAGCACAUAUUCUGCAUGACCAUAUUCUACAUCCCUUAUCCUACCCAAUACCUAAACUUACCAACUACUUUACUAACUACUAACAAAGACUAUAGAAUAUCCAAGACUUGUCACUAGUUUUGAAUGGGAAAACUCCAUUAUGGCCGCAAAGCUCCGACUUCUUAAUGAAAGAGCCAAUCGUUGAUUAGUAAAGUCAUAGCAUCACUGCAGAGCCAUUAGAAGUCUCGGUUGCUAUAGAAACAGUUAGCGUUCUGAGAUGUGCGCUCAGUACUGUGGAUGCUCACUGGCUGAUCUAGCCGGAAAAGUAAACUUUUUUAACACUAUUGGAGCAUAAGGAACAAUAUUUAUGAGGCAGUUGUUGUCAGAUUUCAUUGGUGACUUCAAAUAUGAAAUUUAAUCGUAAAUUUGGUGAACAGCUUUGGAGAAUUUGAUGUUUCCCCAUUCAAAGAGAUAGGAGCUGCAUUUGAAAUGACUAAUAAGCAGCAAAUUAGUAGUUUACUGGGAGAAAAGUGAUAGUUAAUGGUUUGUUAAUAGCGAGAAUUGGCCCUUAAAAUAAAACAUGACCAAACAUUUGAUAUGAUUAGAGCAAUGUUUCCCAUUCUGGCACAGAUAUUCAAUAUUCUGAUAUGGUUGUAUUAAUUGAUUGUGUUUAUAUGAAAAUCAUAUUAAAAUAUAAGAGAACACUUAUAACACAGUUAUAGCAGGCAAUCUGUUUAUGAUCCAUGGAGCCAUAGAGACACACUGAAAUCAGUCUGAGAAACAACUGAGACGUUUGAUAAGAAAUUAACAACAAAUGAGCUGAAGACAGUUAUAGGAGAGAGCAGAGACAAACACUCUCAGGAUCUCACGAUCAAACAGCUGCUUUAAGAUGCUUUUAUAACAUGUUAUGGGUUUAGAUUAUACCAGAUUAUACCUGUUACUGAACAGAACAAGAAGCUGCGGCCGAUUUUAUGUCGAUUUUCAGAGUGUGAAUUAAUCAGCAAAAAGGGAUGGUCAUACGCAAUAACACAAUAAACAGUCAUUUUAGCUGAGAGUAGGCAGAGUUUCACAUCACUUUACUACCAGACUCACAUGAGCUCAUCUGUCAUUUCAGUACUAAAGCAGUUUAGAAGAGUUUGUCUUUUUACAUUUGUGCACUGAAACCUUUGAAGAUGUUACAUAGAUUUUGUUUUUUUGGUUUUGUUUGUGGCAUCUAUAUGGUGUGUUUGCUGAUUCAGAUGAGGUGAAGAUUGUGAUGGAGGGAGAUUCAGUCACUCUAGAAUCUGGUGUUUCUGAAAUAAAGACACAUGACCUGAUAACCUGGACAUUUGGACAUCCAGAGACUCGUAUAGGUCAAAUCAAU